AUCCAGCUGACAAGUCCCAAAUGGGACGAAACAUGCGUCCUGGAU
rnacentral:hammerhead_ribozyme from 1 species